rnacentral:rRNA from 1 species
UAAAGUUUGAUUCCUGNCUCAGAUUGAACGCUGGCGGCAUGCCUAACACAUGNCACGUCGAACGGGUAACAGGCCUUCGGGUGCUGACGAGUGGCGGACGGGUGAGUAACGCGUAGGAAUCUGCCUGAGUAGUGGAGGACAACCCGGGGAAACUCGGGCUAAUACUGUAUACGCCCUACGGGGGAAAGCGGGGGAUCUUUGGACCUCGCGCUAUCAGAUGAGCCUGCGUUGGAUUAGCUUGUUGGUGGGGUAAAGGCUUACCAAGGCGACGAUCCAUAGCUGGUCUGAGAGGAUGAUCAGCCACACUGGGACUGAGACACGGCCCAGACUCCUACGGGAGGCAGCAGUGGGGAAUAUUGGACAAUGGGGGCAACCCUGAUCCAGCAAUGCCGCGUGUGUGAAGAAGGCCUGCGGGUUGUAAAGCACUUUCAGUGGGGAAGAAAAGCGGGCGCUUAAUACGUGCUUGUCUUGACAUCACCCACAGAAGAAGCACCGGCUAACUCCCGUGCCCAGCAGCCCGCGGUAAUACGGAGGGUGCGAGCGUUAAUCGGAAUUACUGGGCGUAAAGCGCACGUAGGUGGUUAUGUCAGUCAGAUGUGAAAGCCCCGGGCUUAACCUGGGAAUUGCAUCUGAUACUGCAUGGCUAGAGUUUGGUAGAGGAGAGUGGAAUUUCCGGUGUAGCGGUGAAAUGCGUAGAUAUCGGAAGAACACCAGUGGCGAAGGCGACUCUCUGGACUGAAACUGACACUGAGGUGCGAAAGCUUGGGGAGCAAACAGGAUUAGAUACCCUGGUAGUCCACGCUGUAAACGAUGAAACUAGCCGUUGGGGGGAAUUAACCCCUUAGUGGCGCAGCUAACGCGUUAAGUUCUCCGCCUGGGGAGUACGGCCCGCAAGGUUGAAACUCAAAGGAAUUGACGGGGGCCCCCCACAAGCGGUGGAGCAUGUGGUUUAUUUCGAUGCAACGCGAAGAACCCUUACCUGCCCUUGACAUCCUCGGAAUCUUGCAGAGAUGCGGGGAGUGCCUUCGGGAACCGAGUGACAGGUGCUGCAUGGCUGUCGUCAGCUCGUGUCGUGAGAUGUUGGGUUAAGUCCCGCAACGAGCGCAACCCUUGUCCCUAGUUGCCAGCAUUUCGGAUGGGAACUCUAGGGAGACUGCCGGUGACAAACCGGAGGAAGGUGGGGAUGACGUCAAGUCAUCAUGGCCCUUAUGGGCAGGGCUACACACGUGCUACAAUGGCCGGUACAGUGGGUUGCCAAGCCGCGAGGUGGAGCUAAUCCCAAAAAGCCGGUCGUAGUCCGAAUUGGGAGUCUGCAACUCGACUCCAUGAAGUCGGAAUCGCUAGUAAUCGCGGAUCAGCAUUGCCCGCGGUGAAUACGUUUCCCGGGCCUUGUACACACCCGCCCGUCACACCAUGGGGAAUUUGGCUGCCCCAGAAGUGGAUAGUCUAACCUU